GAUGAAGAACGAAGCGAAAUGCGAUAAGUAAUGUGAAUUGCAGAAUUCAGUGAAUCAUCGAAUCUUUGAACGCACAUUGCGCCCCCUGGUAUUCCGGGGGGCAUGCCUGUCCGAGCGUCAUUACAACCCUCAAGCUCAGCUUGGUAUUGGGCCCCGCCGACCCGGCGGGCCCUAAAGUCAGUGGCGGUGCCGUCCGGCUCCGAGCGUAGUAAUUCUUCUCGCUCUGGAGGUCCGGUCGUGUGCUCGCCAGCAACCCCCAAUUUUUUUCAGGUUGACCUCGGAUCAGGUAGGGAUACCCGCUGAACUUAAGCAUAUCAAUAAGCGGAGGA
rnacentral:misc_RNA from 1 species